rnacentral:rRNA from 1 species
GCAGUCGCCGCGGUAAUACGAAGGGGGCUAGCGUUGUUCGGAAUUACUGGGCGUAAAGCGCACGUAGGCGGACAUUUAAGUCAGGGGUGAAAUCCCGGGGCUCAACCCCGGAACUGCCUUUGAUACUGGGUGUCUAGAGUAUGGAAGAGGUGAGUGGAAUUCCGAGUGUAGAGGUGAAAUUCGUAGAUAUUUGGAGGAACACCAGUGGCGAAGGCGGCUCACUGGUCCAUUACUGACGCUGAGGUGCGAAAGCGUGGGGAGCAAACAGGAUUAGAUACCCCCGUAGUCCCUGUCUCUUAUAC